AAUGAUGGUCUGUCAGAAAAUGAGCACCAGCUGUCUGUGGCAGGAAAGAUAAAGAAGCACUUUAACACUGGACCCAAGCCCAGCAACAACACUCCAGGAAUGUCUGUAAUGACGCUCGACCAUGACUUUUCCAUCCAGAGAUCAGGGUCGCUGGAUUUCUAUCAGAAUCCGGGCAUGUUUUGGAUAAGACCACCACUCUUGAUAAGGAGAGGCAGGUUCUCCGACGAGGAUGCCACCAGAAUGUGAGUGCAGCUCCCUGGACUACCCAGCCAACCUGUAGCCUCCACAUCCCAGCCUUUACACCCCAUCUGUGCCCUGAUCUGCCACCCACUGGGCUUCCCACUCCAGCCCUUACCCCCGAUCCAUGCCCCUCCACCACUACCACCACGCCCGAGUCUGAAGACUUUUC